UACGGAGGGAGCAAGCGUUGUUCGGAUUUACUGGGCGUAAAGGGCGCGUAGGCGGUCAGCACAAGUCAGUUGUGAAAUCUCCGGGCUUAGCUCGGAAAGGUCAACUGAUACUGUGCGACUAGAGUGCAGAAGGGGCAACUGGAAUUCUCGGUGUAGCGGUGAAAUGCGUAGAUAUGACAUAGAACACCAAUUGCGAAGGCAGCUCACUACACAAAUAUUGACGCUGAGGCACGAAAUCGUCGGGAUCAAACAGG
rnacentral:rRNA from 1 species